rnacentral:rRNA from 1 species
UACGGGGGGGGCAAGCGUUGUUCGGAAUUACUGGGCGUAAAGGGCUCGUAGGUGGCCAACUAAGUCAGACGUGAAAUCCUUCAGCUUAACUGGGGAACUGCGUCUGAUACUGGAUGGCUUGAGUUUGGGAGAGGGAUGCGGAAUUCCAGGUGUAGCGGUGAAAUGCGUAGAUAUCUGGAGGAACACCGGUGGCGAAGGCGGCAUCCUGGACCAAUAUUGACGCUGAGGAGCGAAAGCUAGGGGAGCAAACGGG